UUAAGUUAGAAAGGGCGCACGGUGAAUGCCUUGGCACUAGGAGCCGAUGAAGGACGGGACUAACACCGAUAUGCUUCGGGGAGCUGUAAGUGAGCUUUGAUCCGGAGAUUUCCGAAUGGGGAAACCCACUGUUCGUAAUGGAACAGUAUCUUUAUCUGAAUACAUAGGAUAUUGAAGGCAGACCCGGGGAACUGAAACAUCUAAGUACCCGGAGGAAGAGAAAGCAAAUGCGAUUUCCUGAGUAGCGGCGAGCGAAACGGAAUUAGCCCAAACCAAGAGGCUUGCCUCUUGGGGUUGUAGGACACUCUAUACGGAGUUACAAAGGAACGAAGUAAAUGAAGCGACCUGGAAAGGUCCGUCAAAGAAGGUAACAACCCUGUAGUUGAAACUUCGUUCCCUCUUGAGUGGAUCCUGAGUACGGCGGAACACGUGAAAUUCCGUCGGAAGCUGGGAGGACCAUCUCCCAAGGCUAAAUACUACCUAGUGACCGAUAGUGAACCAGUACCGUGAGGGAAAGGUGAAAAGCACCCCGGAAGGGGAGUGAAAGAGAUCCUGAAACCGUGUGCCUACAAGUAGUCAGAGCCCGUUAACGGGUGAUGGCGUGCCUUUUGUAGAAUGAACCGGCGAGUUACGAUCCCAUGCAAGGUUAAGCUGAUAAGGCGGAGCCGUAGCGAAAGCGAGUCUGAAUAGGGCGUUUAGUAUGUGGUUGUAGACCCGAAACCAGGUGAUCUACCCAUGUCCAGGGUGAAGUUCAGGUAACACUGAAUGGAGGCCCGAACCCACGCACGUUGAAAAGUGCGGGGAUGAGGUGUGGGUAGCGGAGAAAUUCCAAUCGAACCUGGAGAUAGCUGGUUCUCUCCGAAAUAGCUUUAGGGCUAGCCUCAUGUUGUGAGAGUCUUGGAGGUAGAGCACUGAUUGGACUAGGGGCCCCCAACGGGUUACCGAAUUCAGUCAAACUCCGAAUGCCAAAGACUUAUCCAUGGGAGUCAGACUGCGAGUGAUAAGAUCCGUAGUCAAAAGGGAAACAGCCCAGACCACCAGCUAAGGUCCCCAAGUAUACGUUAAGUGGAAAAGGAUGUGGAGUUGCUUAGACAACCAGGAUGUUGGCUUAGAAGCAGCCACCAUUUAAAGAGUGCGUAAUAGCUCACUGGUCGAGUGACUCUGCGCCGAAAAUGUACCGGGGCUAAACGUAUCACCGAAGCUGUGGAUUGACAUCUUUGAUGUCAGUGGUAGGAGAGCGUUCUAAGUGCAGCGAAGUCAGACCGUAAGGACUGGUGGAGCGCUUAGAAGUGAGAAUGCCGGUAUGAGUAGCGAAAGACAAGUGAGAAUCUUGUCCACCGAAUGCCUAAGGUUUCCUGAGGAAGGCUCGUCCGCUCAGGGUUAGUCGGGACCUAAGCCGAGGCUGAAAAGCGUAGGCGAUGGCCAACAGGUUGAUAUUCCUGUACCACCUCCCCGCCGUUUGAGUAAUGGGGGGACGCAGUAGGAUAGGGUAAGCGCGCUGCUGGAUAUGCGCGUUCAAGCAGUUAGGCUGAUGAGUAGGCAAAUCCGCUCAUCAUAAAGGCUGAGCUGUGAUGACGAGGGAAUUAUAGUACCGAAGUUCCUGAUUCCACACUGCCAAGAAAAGCCUCUAGCGAGGCGGGAGGUGCCCGUACCGCAAACCGACACAGGUAGGCGAGGAGAGAAUCCUAAGGUGAUCGAGAGAACUCUCGUUAAGGAACUCGGCAAAAUGACCCCGUAACUUCGGGAGAAGGGGUGCUCUGGUAGGGUGUAUAGCCCGAGAGAGCCGCAGUGAAUAGGCCCAGGCGACUGUUUAGCAAAAACACAGGUCUCUGCGAAGCCGCAAGGCGAAGUAUAGGGGCUGACGCCUGCCCGGUGCUGGAAGGUUAAGAGGAGGGGUUAUCCUUUGGGAGAAGCUCUGAAUCGAAGCCCCAGUAAACGGCGGCCGUAACUAUAACGGUCCUAAGGUAGCGAAAUUCCUUGUCGGGUAAGUUCCGACCCGCACGAAAGGCGUAACGAUCUGGGCACUGUCUCAACGAGAGACUCGGUGAAAUUAUAGUACCUGUGAAGAUGCAGGUUACCCGCGACAGGACGGAAAGACCCCGUGGAGCUUUACUGUAGCCUGAUAUUGAAUUUUGGUACAGCUUGUACAGGAUAGGUAGGAGCCUGAGAAGCCGGAGCGCUAGCUUCGGUGGAGGCGUCGGUGGGAUACUACCCUGGCUGUAUUGAAAUUCUAACCCGCGGCCCUGAUCGGGCCGGGAGACAGUGUCAGGUGGGCAGUUUGACUGGGGCGGUCGCCUCCUAAAAUGUAACGGAGGCGCCCAAAGGUUCCCUCAGAAUGGUUGGAAAUCAUUCGUAGAGUGUAAAGGCACAAGGGAGCUUGACUGCGAGACCUACAAGUCGAGCAGGGACGAAAGUCGGGCUUAGUGAUCCGGUGGUUCCGCAUGGAAGGGCCAUCGCUCAACGGAUAAAAGCUACCCCGGGGAUAACAGGCUUAUCUCCCCCAAGAGUCCACAUCGACGGGGAGGUUUGGCACCUCGAUGUCGGCUCAUCGCAUCCUGGGGCUGUAGUCGGUCCCAAGGGUUGGGCUGUUCGCCCAUUAAAGCGGUACGCGAGCUGGGUUCAGAACGUCGUGAGACAGUUCGGUCCCUAUCCGUCGUGGGCGUAGGAAAUUUGAGAGGAGCUGUCCUUAGUACGAGAGGACCGGGAUGGACACACCGCUGGUGUACCAGUUGUCUUGCCAAAGGCAUCGCUGGGUAGCUAUGUGUGGACGGGAUAAGUGCUGAAAGCAUCUAAGCAUGAAGCCCCCCUCAAGAUGAGAUUUCCCAUAGCGCAAGCUAGUAAGAUCCCUGAAAGAUGAUCAGGUUGAUAGGUCAGAGGUGGAAGCGUGGCGACAUGUGUAGCUGACUGAUACUAAUCGAUCGAGGACUUAACCAA
rnacentral:rRNA from 2 species